GACAUCUUUAAAAAAAUCACUUGUUGCAUCAAGAUAAAGUUUUAUAAUAAUUAUCACGAUUAUAUUAAUCAAUUUUCGCAUUAAAUGAAGCUGGAAGAUCCGUUUUUAACGCAGAGUUCCUCAAUUAUCAAAUUACCCAUCAUUAAACCAACGGGACAUUUUGGGAGAAAAUCGUAUAGUUUCGGAAGAUUCAAAUAAACGUCUUGAGAUGUUAUUACGAUGUAAUCAUAAGAAUUAUUAAAAAUAUAAUUUAAUAGGUGCAAUGA